UACGAAGGGGGCUAGCGUUGCUCGGAAUCACUGGGCGUAAAGCGCACGUAGGCGGCUUUUUAAGUCAGGGGUGAAAUCCUGGAGCUCAACUCCAGAACUGCCUUUGAUACUGAGAAGCUUGAGUCCGGGAGAGGUGAGUGGAACUGCGAGUGUAGAGGUGAAAUUCGUAGAUAUCAGGAAGAACACCCGUGGCGAAAGCGGCUCUCUGGAACGGUACUAACGCUGAGACGCGAAAGCGUGGGGAGCGAACAGG
rnacentral:rRNA from 1 species